UACGUAGGGCGCAAGCGUUGUCCGGAAUUAUUGGGCGUAAAGAGCUCGUAGGCGGUUUGUCGCGUCUGUCGUGAAAGCUUGGGGCUUAACCCCAAGUCUGCGGUGGAUACGGGCAGACUAGAGGCAUGCAGGGGAGAACGGAAUUCCUGGUGUAGCGGUGAAAUGCGCAGAUAUCAGGAGGAACACCGGUGGCGAAGGCGGUUCUCUGGGCAUGUCCUGACGCUGAGGAGCGAAAGUGUGGGGAGCGAACAGG
rnacentral:rRNA from 1 species